UGAGAUUUAAUUGCCAGAGUCCUAGC
rnacentral:piRNA from 1 species